AUGGACAUUUACAAGAGCGAGGAGUUGUUUUAGCAACGUCGAGGGGGCCAGAACAGGCUCCUUAAGGGGGAUGCGAACACUGCCUACUUCCAGGCGAUAGCCAAUGGCCACGGGCGGAAAUGUGCCAUCCCUUUCCUCUGGGAUGGGGAUGUUCUUCUGGAGAGCCCAAAUGACAUCUCCACCCAUAUUUACUCCUUCUAUAAGGAGUUGUUUUUGGCUGAGCCGCGUGGAGGCGUCUCCCUCUGCGCUAACUUUUGGCCGCUUGCAAACUAG
rnacentral:rRNA from 1 species